rnacentral:snoRNA from 1 species
ACGACCUUACUUGAACAGGAUCUGUUCUAUAGGCUCGUACCUCUGUUUCCUUGAUUUCUAAGGAGACAGGCCCUUAAACCUGGUUGAUGAAUCAAAGCCGUGUGACCUGAGUGUGAUUGACGGCGGAUCGUCUCUUCGGAGCCCCUCUGCUGUAGAGGAUCGCUACCUGGUUAGGUCUUCUUCCUAUCUGGGGUGGUCCCACGGUUGUCUGACAGGCU